rnacentral:tRNA from 1 species
AUGGUUAUUUAGUCUAUAAAAGAUAAGUGUUUUGAAAACACUAGAUAAGAAAAUCAACCUCUUAAUAAC